rnacentral:rRNA from 1 species
UUGAACGCUGGCGGCAUGCCUUACACAUGCAAGUCGAACGGCAGCACGGGAGCAAUCCUGGUGGCGAGUGGCGAACGGGUGAGUAAUAUAUCAGAACGUGCCCAGUCGUGGGGGAUAACGUAGCGAAAGCUACGCUAAUACCGCAUACGAUCUAUGGAUGAAAGCGGGGGAUCGCAAGACCUCGCGCGAUUGGAGCGGCCGAUAUCAGAUUAGGUAGUUGGUGAGGUAAAGGCUCACCAAGCCGACGAUCUGUAGCUGGUCUGAGAGGACGACCAGCCACACUGGGACUGAGACACGGCCCAGACUCCUACGGGAGGCAGCAGUGGGGAAUUUUGGACAAUGGGCGCAAGCCUGAUCCAGCAAUGCCGCGUGCAGGAUGAAGGCCUUCGGGUUGUAAACUGCUUUUGUACGGAACGAAACGGUGAGCUCUAAUACAGUUUGCUAAUGACGGUACCGUAAGAAUAAGCACCGGCUAACUACGUG